UCUGACGGAGCAACGCCGCGUGAACGAAGAAGGUCUUCGGAUUGUAAAGUUCUGUGAUUCGGGACGAAAGGGUUUGUGGUGAAUAAUCAUAGACAUUGACGGUACCGAAAAAGCAAGCCACGGCUAACUACGUGCCAGCAGCCGCGGUAAUACGUAGGUGGCAAGCGUUGUCCGGAAUUAUUGGGCGUAAAGCGCGCGCAGGCGGUUUCUUAAGUCCAUCUUAAAAGCGUGGGGCUCAACCCCAUGAGGGGAUGGAAACUGGGAAGCUGGAGUAUCGGAGAGGAAAGUGGAAUUCCUAGUGUAGCGGUGAAAUGCGUAGAGAUUAGGAAGAACACCGGUGGCGAAGGCGACUUUCUAGACGAAAACUGACGCUGAGGCGCGAAAGCGUGGGGAGCAAACAGGAUUAGAUACCCUGGUAGUCCACGCCGUAAACGAUGGAUACUAGGUGUAGGAGGUAUCGACCCCUCCUGUGCCGGAGUUAACGCAAUAAGUAUUCCGCCUGGGAAGUACGAUCGCAAGAUUAAACUCAAAGGAAUUGACGGGGCCCGCACAAGCGGUGGAGUUGUGGUUUAAUUCGACGUACGCGAAGAACCU
rnacentral:rRNA from 1 species